rnacentral:rRNA from 1 species
GUGUCAGCCGCCGCGGUAAUACGUAGGUGGCAAGCGUUGUCCGGAUUUACUGGGCGUAAAGAGCGCGCAGGCGGUCUAGUAAGUCGAAUGUGAAAGCCCCUGGCUCAACCAGGGAGGGUCAUUCGAUACUGCCAGACUCGAAGGCAGGAGAGGGAAGCGGAAUUCCCGGUGUAGUGGUGAAAUGCGUAGAUAUCGGGAGGAACACCAGUGGCGAAGGCGGCUUUCUGGCCUGUUCUUGACGCUGAGGCGCGAAAGCUAGGGGAGCAAACGGGAUUAGAUACCCCAGUAGUCC